rnacentral:ncRNA from 1 species
CUUCCGCCCUCCCCGCACAGGAGGACGGAUCGAGGUAAGCCGCGCGCUCUGCCCUGACCGCGCAGGCUCCUCCCAACCGGCCGCGGGAACCGCACACCCUCGGCCGUAAGUACUCCGGGCUACGGUGCCGGGCGGGUCGAGGGUCCCGUCCUGCACC